rnacentral:rRNA from 1 species
GACGAACGCUGGCGGCGUGCCUAAUACAUGCAAGUAGAACGCUGAAGAGAGGAGCUUGCUCUUCUUGGAUGAGUUGCGAACGGGUGAGUAACGCGUAGGUAACCUGCCUGGUAGCGGAGGAUAACUAUUGGAAACGAUAGCUAAUACCGCAUAAAAUUGCUUAUCGCAUGAUACUUAAUUGAAAGAUGCAAUUGCAUCACUACCAGAUGGACCUGCGUUGUAUUAGCUAGUUGGUGAGGUAACGGCUCACCAAGGCGACGAUACAUAGCCGACCUGAGAGGGUGAUCGGCCACACUGGGACUGAGACACGGCCCAGACUCCUACGGGAGGCAGCAGUAGGGAAUCUUCGGCAAUGGGGGGAACCCUGACCGAGCAACGCCGCGUGAGUGAAGAAGGUUUUCGGAUCGUAAAGCUCUGUUGUAAGAGAAGAACGGGUGUGAGAGUGGAAAGUUUCACACUGUGACGG